UACGGAGGGGGCUAGCGUUAUUCGGAAUUACUGGGCGUAAAGCGCACGUAGGCGGACUGAAAAGUCAGAGGUGAAAUCCCAGGGCUCAACCUUGGAACUGCCUUUGAAACUCUCAGUCUUGAGGUCGAGAGAGGUGAGUGGAAUUCCGAGUGUAGAGGUGAAAUUCGUAGAUAUUCGGAGGAACACCAGUGGCGAAGGCGGCUCACUGGCUCGAUACUAACGCUAAAAUACGAAAGCGUGAAGAGCAAACAGG
rnacentral:rRNA from 1 species